rnacentral:rRNA from 1 species
GAUGAACGCUAGCUACAGGCUUAACACAUGCAAGUCGAGGGGCAGCAUGAACUUAGCUUGCUAAGUUUGAUGGCGACCGGCGCACGGGUGAGUAACACGUAUCCAACCUGCCGAUGACUCGGGGAUAGCCUUUCGAAAGAAAGCUUAAUACCCGAUGGCAUAGUUCUUCCGCAUGGUAGAACUAUUAAAGAAUUUCGGUCAUCGAUGGGGAUGCGUUCCAUUAGGUUGUUGGCGGGGUAACGGCCCACCAAGCCUUCGAUGGAUAGGGGUUCUGAGAGGAAGGUCCCCCACAUUGGAACUGAGACACGGUCCAGACUCCUACGGGAGGCAGCAGUGAGGAAUAUUGGUCAAUGGACGAGAGUCUGAACCAGCCAAGUAGCGUGAAGGAUGACUGCCCUAUGGGUUGUAAACUUCUUUUAUACGGGAAUAAAGUUAGCCACGUGUGGUUUUUGUAUGUACCGUAUGAAUAAGGAUCGGCUAACUCCGUG